GUGCUUACUUUGGCAGCACAUAUACUAAAAUUGGAAUGAUACGGAAAAGAUUAGCAUGGCCCCUGUGUGAGAAUGGCAUGCAAAUUCGUGAAGCAGUCCAUAUUCUU
ensembl:snRNA U6 U6 spliceosomal RNA